UUCUCGUUCCUUUGCUUUCGCUUAAUAGUAGAGAACGUAAGUUGAACAUUUUCCAACGUUCGAGUCCCCAUCUCUUUUUAUCUCCUUUCCUAUUAUUACAGAGUAGAACGAUAAAAAAGAAAUAGAAAUCAAAAUAAUUCCCACUUCUCUCUGUUUUGUCCUUUUUGUACUCUUUCUAUUUACUGGGUGUUGAAAGAAUCUCCGUCAACCUCUACCACGAUCGUGCUCACAAAAGAGGAAUUCCGAUUGUACCUUGUGGUGGUGUUCUCGAUUAAUCCCGCACAAAGCUAUAAGGACAAGAAUAUGA
rnacentral:lncRNA from 1 species